AGAGUUUGAUCAUGGCUCAGAACGAACGCUGGCGGCGUGGAUGAGGCAUGCAAGUCGAACGAACUUUGACGAGUAGCAAUAUUUGUCAAGGAGAGUGGCGUAAGGGUGAGUAAUACGUAGGUAAUCUGCCUCCUAGAUGGGCACAACCUGGCGAAAGCCGGGCUAAUUCCCAAUGUGGCAGCUCCGGGCAUCCGGGGCGAUCUGAAGCCGGGGACCGCAAGGCCUGGCACUAGGAGAUGAGCCUGCGUCCUAUCAGCUUGUUGGUGAGGUAAUGGCUCACCAAGGCUUACGGGUAGCUGGUCUGAGAGGACGAUCAGCCACACUGGGACUGAGACACUGCCCAGACUCCUACGGGAGGCUGCAGUCGAGAAUCUUUCGCAAUGGGGGAAACCCUGACGAAGCGACGCCGCGUGCAGGAUGAAAGCCUUCGGGUUGUAAACUGCUGUCUUUCGGGAGCAAGGAACUAUGGUGAACAGCCAUGGAACUUGAUAGUACCGGAGGAGGAAGCCACGGCUAACUCUGUGCCAGCAGCCGCGGUAAUACAGAGGUGGCAAGCGUCGUUCGGAUUUACUGGGCGUAAAGGGUGCGUAGGCGGUUCUGUGUGUCGGGUGUGAAAUCCCACGGAUUAUCCGUGGAACGGCAUUCGAAACUACAGGGCUAGAGUGCGGGAGAGGAAGGUAGAAUUCUCGGUGUA
rnacentral:rRNA from 1 species